AGUGAAAGACUCAAUGCCUCCUGACCGAGGCUUCAGGCCUGCCCCGGCAGCUAGGUACCUCUCCAGGGGAUGGAACUCUGUGGGAACUGCUAUUUAAUUCUGAUGGUUAACUCUGUCAGAUGGCCUUGAUAUAUGGGAAUAAUCGUUGCAGGAGGGUAGGGGAAAUAAGAAUCGCAAGACUCUAGCACAGGACGUGUGGAUUGAUGGAAACCUGAAACUGCCAUUGAGCAGAAGGAAAACAUCCCUUUCCAGAACCUUUCUCGUUUUUCUAAAAAUCUGCACUUUUGGAAGUGAUCCCCCAAAGAGACCUCCAGACUCUACCAUGAGUGUCUCCAGCUGAACUCAUCGUGUCUAAUCCUCACCCUAGCUUAUCCUGUUCAAAUCAUUUCCAUCUUUUUCUGGAUGAACCUGGGCGGAUGUCAGACCAGAGAAGAGCACAGAAUGUACCAGAGAGGAAACCAGCCCUAACAACUCUGAGGCAAGAAGAGGCUUCAGGACUGGAUAUGGGACUUAGGUGACAGAAAGUCUCCUACCUCUUCAAAAGCACAAACAUACUUUAUUUCUGUUAAAGAAAAAAUGUAACACAGUUGUUAGGAUGGUAAAGCAGACUUCAUUCAGCAUUAUUGCCAUAGGUGUACUUUGCAGUAGAGGAUUGAGAUUGGGAUCAGCUCCUAAUACAAGGAAAAUAAGGGAUUUACAGCCAAAGACUGAGAGGUAGGGAUGGAACGUGGGGCAGGACAGGGGUUAGUGAAUGGAAAAUUACUAAAAGGAUACGUUAAUUUUUUCUAAAGUGACCUAACAGUAUUCUUGCUAUAGGCAGACCAGGGUGAUCAGAUAUCAAUUGGAGAAUAAGGAAUGUGGUCAGAUAUCGAGGGCGAAUCAGAUAUUGAAGAUAGGGGAUGCUGGCUAAAACUGGGCUCUUGAGGCAAUGUCCAAGGUCCAAGCAUAGGUGGGAAAGGGGUGAGGAGACUGUGUCUAGGGUUUGGUC
rnacentral:lncRNA from 1 species